rnacentral:misc_RNA from 1 species
UCCGGCUUGUCACCGGCAGUCCCUCUAGAGUGCCCAACUCAAUGAUGGCAACUAAAGGCGAGGGUUGCGCUCGUUGCGGGACUUAACCCAACAUCUCACGACACAAGCUGACGACAGCCAUGCAGCACCUGUAUGAAAGUCAGUACCAUCCCGUUAAGGACUGGUUUUGUUGUUCAAAUGUCAAGGGCUGGUAAGGUUUUGCGCGUUGUAUCGAAUUAAACCACAUGCUCCACCGCUUGUGCAGGCCCCCGUCAAUUCCUUUGAGUUUUAGCCUUGCGGCCGUACUCCCCAGGCGGGGCACUUAAUGCGUUAGCUACGGCACGGAAUCGAUUGGUACGACCCCACACCUAGUGCCCAACGUUUACGGCGUGGACUAC